CCUACGGGUGGCAGCAGUGGGGAAUUUUGCGCAAUGCUCGUAAGAGUGACGCAGCGACGCCGCGUGAAUGACGAAGGCCUUCGGGUCGUAAAGUUCUUUCGACAGGGAAGAAAAUGCCUAUAAGUAACUGUGUAUGUAUUGACGGUACCUGAAUAAGCAGCUCCGGCUAACUCCGUGCCAGCAGCGGCGGUAAUACGGAGGGGGCGAGCGUUGUUCGGAGUGACUGGGCGUAAAGAGCACGUAGGUGGUGUUGUAAGUCAUUAGUCAAAGACUAGAGCUCAAGUUUAGUAAGGCUAGUGAUACUAUAAUACUAGAGUAUCAGAGAGGAGUGAAGAAUGCGUGGUGUAGCGGUGAAAUGCGUAGAUAUAAGGAAGAACACCAGUGGCGAAGGCGAGAACUGAGGCUAUCACUGACGCUGAGGCUCGAAAGUGUGGGGAGCAAAUAGGAUUAGAUACCCGGGUAGUC
rnacentral:rRNA from 1 species